rnacentral:rRNA from 1 species
UACAGAGGUCUCAAGCGUUGUUCGGAUUCAUUGGGUUUAAAGGGUGCGUAGGCGGGCUAUUAAGUCAGUGGUGAAAUCUCCGAGCCUAACUCGGAAAUUGCCAUUGAUACUGAUGGUCUUGAGUACAUUUGAAGUGGGCGGAAUGUGUCAUGUAGCGGUGAAAUGCUUAGAUAUGACACAGAACACCGAUUGCGUAGGCAGCUCACUAAACUGUAACUGACGCUGAGGCACGAAAGCGUGGGGAGCAAACAGG